UGCAAACGCCGCCCACCGCCAUACGCACACGCGGAAACACGACACGCCGCGCUCCGUGACCGUCUGCAGUAGAAUUCAUUUAACAAUUAUUAUUACAAUUCAAUUUUCUGGAAAUCCAUUUUUUUUCACCCUCGGUAAUAUUAUAAUCAAAUAAAAGUCCGUUUUUAAUUUAUAUCAAACGUAAAAUGUUAAUUUGGAUUAUUCUGUUUGUCGGAACUCGUUUUCCCGUGUAUGGAAUUCAAAUUUAAAUAUACCUCAUUAUUUUUAAAAACACAAUUUUAUUUUUUUCAAUUGUGUGAAAGUAAACUGAGUUGACGACACAAAACUGGAACAGCCGAACGUACAUUUUGGUAUGCGUUGGUAUAUAAGAUGGAGACAACGCGCGCGGGUACGACGUCGUCUUAAAAAUUAUUUUCGUACCGAUAAACCCGUGAUGCAUGGGAAUAUUUUCACCAUAGUACCCAACGACGUGUAUCAUGAUGAUAUAUCACAUCGAUCGGCUACUCGUUCAUACGUGUUUGUUUUGUUCGUGGAUGUCCACUCUGCGCCGGCCGAUAUGUGAAUAAGGAACCGACAUGGGCGAAUAAAUAAAAUAACAUACCUCGAAUGCUGAUAGAAAGUAAUUCGUGUAGAAUGUAGAUAUUGGGUAGGUACAUGGAAUAACCAGCGCAACAUAAUUGAUAACUAAAAUCAAAUUAUCAUGGGUUCAUACUUCGUAUUGAUGUUAAGAUAUUGAUGUACAGUUGUGUAGUACAAAUAAACUGUAAUAUUUUAUAGUAUACUAUAAUUUACAAUCGAAAAAAUGAAUAGGUGAAAUAGAGACAUAUGAAAAGACAAUUGCAUACAAGACAUAACUGAGAGCUUUAACAAGUUAACAUUAACAUUUUUACCAAAAAUAUUUUAACAAACAGUUAUAUAUUAUAAAUUAUUAUUGUUAUACAUAAAUAUUGGACGGUCCAUUUAAAGUAACACCCAUUAUUACAAAAACUAUUAACGUUUAAAAAUAUUUUUUUACCUACUUAACUUAAGUUUUAAAAAACAAAAUUGUUCAAAAAAGUUGAUCCACUAUUUCACUUAUAUUAUAAACUUGAAACACUUGAAACUAACGACUUAAAAUAAUUUUUAAAAAAAUAUUCAAAAACGUUGAUAGUUUUUGAUAUAAUAAGUGUCUUAUGUUAUAUGGGUCCCACUACAUACAAUAUCAUAUGAUGUGUAAGAUUUUUAAUCACAAGCUUUGUUAGUCUUAUUGUAUAAUAUAAGCGUCAGACAUUAAAUUGGGUUGCACUGACAAAAAAUCACGCACGAAAUUCGACCCAAAUUUGAGUUAUGGCGUGCAAUUCAAAUGCAGCCAGUACAACAAUAUACGAGUAUAUUAUAGGUAUCAGUGGUGAGUUCUAGUUUUUAUAAUUCGAAUAGUUCAAAUAAUUAUUUUGUAUUUCAUAAUAUAAGUAAAGACACAUAUUAUAGAAUAGAUAUAGUCACCUAAAUGUAUUGAAAUAAUUUGUUAUAAUUAUUAAAUUUAUUUUGAUGGAAAUUUUUUUUUUAUUUUGCAAUGGCAGUGUUUGUAUGGCUGACGUAAACCGUAAUCAAGUCACAAGCGCUUACGCAAGACUAUCUAACACGAACCAUUAAAUGUGUAAUAAUACUGCAGAAAAACGUUUUAAAAUCAGGAUUUAAUUGAAAUUUAAUCAACCACAAAUACUAUUAAAAAAUGUAAAUUAAAAUAUAUUAUUCAUAUUCUGUACUUGUAUCCCACGACCGUAACUUGUCUAAUCAAAGGCCA